UACGUAGGGUGCAAGCGUUAAUCGGAAUUACUGGGCGUAAAGCGUGCGCAGGCGGUUCGUUAAGUUCGUUGUGAAAGCCCCGGGCUCAACCUGGGAACUGCAAUGGAAACUGGCGGGCUUGAAUGCGGCAGAGGGGGGUGGAAUUCCGCGUGCAGCAGUGAAAUGCGUAGACAUCGGGAGGAACACCAGUGGCGAAGGCGACUACCUGGCCUGUUUCUUGACGCUGAGGCGCGAAAGCUAGGGGAGCAAACGGG
rnacentral:rRNA from 1 species